UACGUAGGGUGCAAGCGUUAUCCGGAAUUACUGGGCGUAAAGCGUGCGCAGGCGGUGAUGUAAGACAGUUGUGAAAUCCCCGGGCUCAACCUGGGAACUGCAUCUGUGACUGCAUCGCUGGAGUGCGGCAGAGGGGGAUGGAAUUCCGCGUGUAGCAGUGAAAUGCGUAGAUAUGCGGAGGAACACCGAUGGCGAAGGCAAUCCCCUGGGCCUGCACUGACGCUCAUGCCCGAAAGCGUGGGGAGCAAACAGG
rnacentral:rRNA from 1 species